rnacentral:rRNA from 1 species
CCUACGGGCGGCUGCAGUGGGGAAUAUUGGACAAUGGGGGAAACCCUGAUCCAGCAAUGCCGCGUGUGUGAAGAAGGCCUGCGGUUUGUAAGGCACUUUCGGUUGGGAAGAAAAGUUUGGCGCCAAUACCGCCGAACCUUGACGUUACUGACAGAAGAAGCACCGGCUAACUCUGUGCCAGCAGCCGCGGUAAUACAGAGGGUGCAAGCGUUAAUCGGAAUCACUGGGGUGGAAGCGUGAGUAGGUGGUCAAGUCCCCGGGCUUAACCUGGGAACUGCAGUUGAUACUACAUGGCUAGAGUAUGGUAGAGGGAAGUGGAAUUUCCGGUGGAGCGGUGAAAUGCGUAGAUAUCGGAAGGAACACCAAUGGCGAAGGCAGCUUCCUGGACUAAUACUGACACUGAGGCACGAAAGCGUGGGUAGCAAACAGGAUUAGAUACCCGGGUAGUC